UUAGAGGAAUCCGAAAAUCUAACAGAGUAGGAA
rnacentral:ncRNA from 1 species